rnacentral:lncRNA from 1 species
UCCUUCUUGGCCCUGCCGAAAACAAGGUGGGCAGUUCCUGCCACCUGGAGCUCGUUUCCCCACCUGUCAAAUGGGCGUUAAGAAUUCCAUUGUGGUUUGAUACAUGGAGGUUCUCACUGUGUUGCCCAGGCUGGAGUGCAGUAGCAUGAUGAUAGCUCACUACAGCCUCAAGCAAUCCUCCUGCCACACCUCCCGAGUAGCUGGAACUACAGGUGUGUGCCACCAUGCCUGGCUAAUUUUUUUAUUUUAUUUUAUUUUAUUUUUUGUAGAGAUGGAGUCUCACUAUGUUGCCCAGGCUGGCCUCAAACUCCUGGCCUCAAGUGAUCCUCCUGCCUCGGUCUCUCAAAUUGUUGGGAUGACAGGUAUGAGCCACUGCACAUGGCCCAAGAGUUUUUGUUUGUUAGUUUUGUUUUUUGAGAUGGAUUUUCACUCAUCUCCCAGGUUGCAGUGAGCUGAGAUCACGUCAUCGCACUCCAGCCUGGGCAACAAGAGGGAAACUCCUUCCCCGCCUCCCCCACCAAAAAAAAAGAGAA